UGAUGAUCGAGCUUACUAUUUUGGCCCAGAGUGGGGUCAAGGGGUGAUCCUCAAAACAGUGACCCGAUUGAGUUGUGGUAAUGGGAAGUCAAAAUUUGAUGUAGAUUAUAGUGGGGACCGAUGGGGUGGGGAUAGAUUUUGGAAUAAAAUGCCUACGUUUGGACAGAAUUCAGAUAAAGCUAUAUCUACUGAAAAUAGCAUUAAGAAGGCUUCAAAUGCACCAAACUUCUACCCGGAAGCUCUUUAUCAGACUGCCCU
rnacentral:misc_RNA from 1 species